GACGAACGCUGGCGGCGUGCUUAACACAUGCAAGUCGAACGGAAAGGCCCUGCUUUUGUGGGGUGCUCGAGUGGCGAACGGGUGAGUAACACGUGAGUAACCUGCCCUUGACUUUGGGAUAACUUCAGGAAACUGGGGCUAAUACCGGAUAGGAGCUCCUGCUGCAUGGUGGGGGUUGGAAAGUUUCGGCGGUUGGGGAUGGACUCGCGGCUUAUCAGCUUGUUGGUGGGGUAGUGGCUUACCAAGGCUUUGACGGGUAGCCGGCCUGCGAGGGUGACCGGCCACAUUGGGACUGAGAUACGGCCCAGACUCCUACGGGAGGCAGCAGUGGGAAAUAUUGCACAAUGGGCGGAAGCCUGAUGCAGCAACGCCGCGUGCGGGAUGACGGCCUUCGGGUUGUAAACCGCUUUCGCCUGUGACGAAGCGUGAGUGGCGGUAAUGGGUAAAGAAGCACCGGCUAACUACGUG
rnacentral:rRNA from 1 species